CGGUUGCCCAGUGUCAUCACCCUGCCUGGUGUCUCGGUAGGGUAAUUCCUCAGGUCACCACCCUUUCCAGCCUGCCUUGAGCUUGGAGAAUGAGGAGGAGGGCAAGCGAAAGCUGGCCACCCUGAACAUCUGUCAUCCAUCUCUCCAUCACCCAGAGCAAGAGCUCAUUGAGGAGGUGCCUGAUAUCUCUCCACCCAGUGCCAUCCUCGCUAACUCCCUGAUUGCUGUGGGCAACCUCAGCACCACGACAGCUGCCCUGGAGCCAGAGCUAGAGACCCACCUCCUUCGAGCUGCCCCGCAUGCCAUCUUCACCCUGGGCAUGGAGAAGGACACCACCCACC